GGCAGUAUAGCUCUAAGUGGUCUAAAGAGGGGGUUCCUUUUGGCUGCCCCGCAUUAAAUUGCAUCGCUGGUUCAACCCCAGCUACUGCUA
rnacentral:tRNA from 1 species